GGCUGCUUACCAUGCAGUCGAGCGGUAACAGGUUAAGCUGACGAGUGGCGAACGGGUGAGUAAUGUAUCGGAACGUGCCCAGUCGUGGGGGAUAACUGCUCGAAAGAGCAGCUAAUACCGCAUACGACCUGAGGGUGAAAGCGGGGGAUCGCAAGACCUCGCGCGAUUGGAGCGGCCGAUAUCAGAUUAGGUAGUUGGUGGGGUAAAGGCCCACCAAGCCAACGAUCUGUAGCUGGUCUGAGAGGACGACCAGCCACACUGGGACUGAGACACGGCCCAGACUCCUACGGGAGGCAGCAGUGGGGAAUUUUGGACAAUGGGCGCAAGCCUGAUCCAGCCAUGCCGCGUGCGGGAAGAAGGCCUUCGGGUUGUAAACCGCUUUUGUCAGGGAAGAAAAGGUUCUGGUUAAUACCUGGGACUCAUGACGGUACCUGAAGAAUAAGCACCGGCUAACUACGUGCCAUCAGCCGCGGUAAUACGUAGGGUGCAAGCGUUAAUCGGAAUUACUGGGCGUAAAGCGUGCGCAGGCGGUUAUGCAAGACAGAGGUGAAAUCCCCGGGCUCAACCUGGGAACUGCCUUUGUGACUGCAUGGCUAGAGUGCGGCAGAGGGGGAUGGAAUUCCGCGUGUAGCAGUGAAAUGCGUAGAUAUGCGGAGGAACACCGAUGGCGAAGGCAAUCCCCUGGGCCUGCACUGACGCUCAUGCACGAAAGCGUGGGGAGCAUACAGGAUUAGAUACCCUGGUAGUCCACGCCCUAAACGAUGUCAACUGGUUGUUGGGAGGGUUUCUUCUCAGUAACGUAGCUAACGCGUGAAGUUGACCGCCUGGGGAGUACGGCCGCAAGGUUGAAACUCAAAGGAAUUGACGGGACCCGCACAAGCGG
rnacentral:rRNA from 1 species